UCGGGAAUUUUGGGCAAUGGGCGAAAGCCUGACCCAGCAACGCCGCGUGAAGGAUGAAGUAUUUCGGUAUGUAAACUUCGAAAGAAUAGGAAGAAUAAAUGACGGUACUAUUUAUAAGGUCCGGCUAACUACGUGCCAGCAGCCGCGGUAAUACGUAGGGACCAAGCGUUGUUCGGAUUUACUGGGCGUAAAGGGCGCGUAGGCGGCAAUUCAAGUUAUCUGUGAAAUCUCCGGGCUUAACUCGGAACGGUCAGAUGAUACUGCUUUGCUAGAGUGCAGAAGGGGCAAUCGGAAUUCUUGGUGUAGCGGUGAAAUGCGUAGAUAUCAAGAGGAACACCUGAGGUGAAGACGGGUUGCUGGGCUGACACUGACGCUGAGGCGCGAAAGCCAGGGGAGCAAACGGGAUUAGAUACCCCCGUAGUCCCUGAGCGGGCUGGCAAGGCGCAU
rnacentral:rRNA from 1 species